UACAGAGGGUGCGAGCGUUGUCCGGAAUCACUGGGCGUAAAGGGCUCGUAGGCGGCCAACUAAGUCAUACGUGAAAUCCCUCGGCUUAACCGGGGAACUGCGUCUGAUACUGGAUGGCUUGAGAUUGGGAGAGGGAUGCGGAAUUCCAGGUGUAGCGGUGAAAUGCGUAAAUAUCUGGAGGAACACCGGUGGCGAAGGCGGCAUCCUGGACCAACACUGACGCUGAGGAGCGAAAGCCAGGGGAGCAAACGGG
rnacentral:rRNA from 1 species